rnacentral:rRNA from 1 species
CGUAGGGACCGAGCGUUGUCCGGAUUCAUUGGGCGUAAAGAGCUCGUAGGCGGCUGCUCAAGUCGAAUGUGAAAACUCGAGGCUCAACCUCGAGCCUGCAUUCGAUACUGGGCGGCUAGAGUCUGGUAGGGGGAUCUGGAAUUCCUGGUGUAGCGGUGGAAUGCGCAGAUAUCGGGAGGAACACCGGUGGCGAAGGCGGGAUCCUGGGCCAGUACUGACGCUGAGGAGCGAAAGCGUGGGGAGCAAACAGGAUUAGAUACCCUGGUAGUCCACGCCGUAAACGAUGGGCGCUAGGUGUGGGAGGUCAUCGACUCCUUCCGUGCCGCAGCUAACGCAUUAAGCGCCCCGCCUGGGGAGUACGGCCGCAAGGCUA